GCAUGGCAAAAAAAGUCAUAGUAUAGCAUGGCAAAAAAAGUCAUAGUAUAGUAAGGCAUAAAAAGUCAUAAAAAAGUCAUAGUAUAGCAUGGCAAAAAAAGUCAUAAAAAGUCAUAGUAUAGCAUGGCAAAAAAAGUCAUAGUAUAGCAAGGCAUAAAAAGUCAUAAAAAAGUCAUAGUAUAGUAAGGCAUAAAAAGUCAUAGUAUAGUAAGGCAAAAAAAGUCAUAAAAAAGUCAUAGUAUAGCAUGGCAUAAAAAGUCAUAGUAUAGCAUGGCAUAAAAAGUCAUAAAAAAGUCAUAGUAUAGCAUGGCAAAAAAAGUCAUAAAAAAGUCAUAGUAUAGCAUGGCAUAAAAAGUCAUAGUAUAGCAUGGCAUAAAAAGUCAUAAAAAAGUCAUAGUAUAGCAUGGCAUAAAAAGUCAUAAAAAAUCAUAGUAUAGCAUGGCAUAAAAAGUCAUAGUAUAGCAAGGCAUAAAAAAUCAUAGUAUAGUAAGGCAUAAAAAGUCAUAAAAAGUCAUAGUAUAGCAAGGCAUAAAAAGUCAUAGUAUAGCAUGGCAUAAAAAGUCAUAGUAUAGCAUGGCAUAAAAAGUCAUAAAAAAGUCAUAGUAUAGCUUGGCAUAAAAAAGUCAUACUAUAGUAAGGCAAAAAAAGUCAUAAAAAAGUCAUAGUAUAGCAUGGCAUAAAAAGUCAUAGUAUAGCAAGGCAUAAAAAGUCAUAGUAUAGUAAGGCAAAAAAAGUCAUAAAAAAGUCAUAGUAUAGCAUGGCAAAAAAAGUCAUAAAAAAGUCAUAGUAUAGCAUGGCAAAAAAAGUCAUAGUAUAGUAAGGCAUAAAAAGUCAUAGUAUAGCAUGGCAUAAAAAGUCAUAGUAUAGCAUGGCAUAAAAAGUCAUACUAUAGUAAGGCAAAAAAAGUCAUAGUAUAGCAUGGCAUAAAAAGUCCUAAAAAAGUCAUAGUAUAGCAUGGCAUAAAAAGUCCUAAAAAAGUCAUAGUAUAGCAUGGCAUAAAAAGUCAUAAAAAAGUCAUAGUAUAGCAUGGCAUAAAAAGUCAUAGUAUAGUAAGGCAUAAAAAGUCAUAAAAAAGUCAUAGUAUAGCAUGGCAUAAAAAGUCAUAAAAAAGUCAUAGUAUAGCAUGGCAUAAAAAGUCAUAGUAUAGUAAGGCAUAAAAAGUCAUAAAAAAGUCAUAAAAAAGUCAUAGUAUAGCAAGGCAUAAAAAGUCAUAAAAAAGUCAUAGUGUAGUAAGGCAUAAAAAGUCAUAAAAAAGUCAUAGUAUAGCAUGGCAUAAAAAGUCAUAAAAAAGUCAUAGUAUAGUAAGGCAAAAAAAAGUCAUAAAAAAGUCAUAGUAUAGCAUGGCAUAAAAAGUCAUAGUAUAGCAUGGCAUAAAAAGUCAUAGUAUAGCAAGGCAUAAAAAGUCAUAAAAAAGUCAUAGUGUAGUAAGGCAUAAAAAGUCAUAAAAAAGUCAUAGUAUAGCAUGGCAUAAAAAGUCAUAAAAAAGUCAUAGUAUAGCAUGGCAUAAAAAGUCAUAGUAUAGCAAGGCAUAAAAAGUCAUAGUAUAGCAUGGCAUAAAAAGUCAUAGUAUAGCAUGGCAUAAAAAGUCAUAAAAAAGUCAUAGUAUAGCAUGGCAAAAAAAGUCAUAGUAUAGCAUGGCAUAAAAAGUCAUAGUAUAGUAAGGCAUAAAAAGUCAUAAAAAAGUCAUAGUAUAGCAUGGCAUAAAAAGUCAUAGUAUAGCAUGGCAAAAAAAGUCAUAAAAAAGUCAUAGUAUAGCAUGGCAUAAAAAAGUCAUAGUAUAGUAAGGCAAAAAAAGUCAUAAAAAAGUCAUAGUAUAGCAUGGCAAAAAAAGUCAUAGUAUAGUAAGGCAUAAAAAGUCAUAAAAAAGUCAUAGUGUAGUAAGGCAUAAAAAGUCAUAAAAAAGUCAUAGUAUAGCAUGGCAUAAAAAGUCAUAAAAAAGUCAUAGUAUAGCAUGGCAUAAAAAGUCAUAAAAAAGUCAUAGUAUAGUAAGGCAAAAAAAGUCAUAGUAUAGCAUGGCAUAAAAAGUCAUAAAAAAGUCAUAGUGUAGUAAGGCAUAAAAAGUCAUAAAAAAGUCAUAGUAUAGCAUGGCAUAAAAAGUCAUAAAAAAGUCAUAGUAUAGUAAGGCAAAAAAAGUCAUAAAAAAGUCAUAGUAUAGCAUGGCAUAAACAGUCCUAAAAAUGUCAUAGUAUAGUAAGGCAUAAAAAGUCAUAAAAAAGUCAUAGUAUAGUAAGGCAAAAAAAGUCAUAAAAAAGUCAUAGUAUAGCAUGGCAUAAAAAGUCAUAGUAUAGCAUGGCAUAAAAAGUCAUAGUAUAGUAAGGCAAAAAAAGUCAUAAAAAAGUCAUAAAAAAGUCAUAGUAUAGUAAGGCAUAAAAAGUCAUAAAAAAGUCAUAGUAUAGCAUGGCAAAAAAAGUCAUAAAAAAGUCAUAGUAUAGUAAGGCAAAAAAAGUCAUAAAAAAGUCAUAGUAUAGCAUGGCAAAAAAAGUCAUAGUAUAGUAAGGCAUAAAAAGUCAUAGUAUAGUAAGGCAAAAAAAGUCAUAAAAAAGUCAUAGUAUAGUAAGGCAUAAAAAGUCAUAAAAAAGUCAUAGUGUAGUAAGGCAUAAAAAGUCAUAAAAAAGUCAUAGUGUAGUAAGGCAUAAAAAGUCAUAAAAAAGUCAUAGUAUAGCAUGGCAUAAAAAGUCAUAGUGUAGUAAGGCAAAAAAGUCAUAAAAAAGUCAUAGUAUAGCAUGGCAUAAAAAGUCAUAGUAUAGCAAGGCAAAAAAAGUCAUAAAAAAGUCAUAGUAUAGCAUGGCAUAAAAAGUCAUAAAAAAGUCGUAGUAUAGCAUGGCAAAAAAAGUCCUAAAAAAGUCAUAGUAUAGUAAGGCAAAAAAAGUCAUAGUAUAGUAAGGCAUAAAAAGUCAUAGUAUAGUAAGGCAAAAAAAGUCCUAAAAAAGUCAUAGUAUAGCAUGGCAUAAAAAGUCAUAAAAAAGUCAUAGUAUAGUAAGGCAUAAAAAGUCAUAGUAUAGCAUGGCAUAAAAAGUCAUA